CCAGCAGCCACAGAGCCAGGAUGUUCCCCAUCAGCGCCACACACAUCUCCACACCGUAGAUGGAAGGUAACAGACUCCUCAGCCUCAGGCUGGUCCUCCUGCAUCCCAGUAUCCUCGACUUCACUGUCAUCAGAUGCAGCUUCUUCCUUCUGCCAUUUCCUCUUCAUGCCCUUCAGGGUUUGUUUUUGCAGUAUCAUGCAGGACACAAACAAGGUCCAAGACAACCAGCCACACCAAAUUUCAGGGGUCAGCAUCUAAAAAUAAAAAUAAAACUGUGUGAAACCGAG